GACCGCGGGAAGACUACCCGCUUGAUAGGCCAGAGGUGUACGCACAGCAAUGUGUUCAGCUGACUGGUACUAAUGGUCGAGGGCUUGACCUU
rnacentral:rRNA from 1 species